UAGAACAUGUUAUUACAACUGCGAGAACAUCAACAAGUUGUUGGAUAAUUGGAAGAUGCUCAAAAUACAAGCAGAUAAGUUAUGCAUGCAGCUCAACAUGUUAUAGACAAAAAUGUUGCAGUGGCUACACUGGAAGUACCUGCUCGACCCCUAUAUGUUUUGGCUCUACGUCUUGUCCAAACGGAGGAACAUGCAUAUCUCCUGACAGAUGUUCUUGUCGACCUGGAUUUUCUGAACCAAAGUGUUCAG